UUGAAAGGGAAACGAUUGAAGUCAGUCGUACUUGCGGGUAAUCAGCCUUUUGGGUGCGAUUCUGUGGAGUGUGGAGAGUUAAACGCCUUCAUGCCUUGCGUAUUCGUGCACUUUGGGUGUACUUGCCCGUGUGGUAGGUUAACAUCAAUUUUGAUCAUCAUAAAAUGGUUGGAGGAAUGUAGCUUCGAUCUUGUAUUGAAGUGUUAUAGCCUUCGGCAGAUGUGAUGAUCGGGAUUGAGGAUUGCAACGGAUACCCUUCGGGGCUACCUGUCUGAUCUCUGAUCGUUGCUCUGGUGUCGAAAGCUUGCUUACGGUCAUCGAAGUCGAUGGUCAACAGGUUAGAACGGGUUAAAUUCGUUAAGGAUGUUGACGUA
rnacentral:rRNA from 1 species